rnacentral:hammerhead_ribozyme from 1 species
ACACUGCUUAAGAGUCCCAGAAUAGGACGAAACGAUCGUCUAAUAC